CAAAGAUUAAGCCAUGCAUGUUUAAGCAGAAGCCGCACAACGGUAAAGCCGCGAAUGGCUCAUUACAACAGCCGUCGUUUCUUGGAUCUCUAAUUUUACUUGGAUAACUGUGGUAAUUCUAGAGCUAAUACACGCACUAAAGCUCUGACCUUACGGGACGAGCGCAUUUAUUAGAACAAAACCAAUCGGGUUCUGCCCGUUCGUUGGUGACUCUGAAUAACUCUGCUGAUCGCACGGUCUCGCACCGGCGACGUAUCUUUCAAGUGUCUGCCUUAUCAACUUUCGAUGGUAGUUUAUGUGCCUACCAUGGUUGUAACGGGUAACGGAGAAUAAGGGUUCGACUCCGGAGAGGGAGCCUGAGAAACGGCUACCACUUCCAAGGAAGGCAGCAGGCGCGCAAAUUACCCACUCUCGGCACGAGGAGGUAGUGACGAAAAAUAACGAGACGGAUCUCUUUGAGGCCCGUUAUCGGAAUGAGAACAAUUUAAAUCCU
rnacentral:rRNA from 1 species